rnacentral:rRNA from 1 species
GUAGGUGGCAAGCGUUGUCCGGAAUUAUUGGGCGUAAAGCGCGCGCAGGCGGUUCUUUAAGUCUGAUGUGAAAGCCCACGGCUCAACCGUGGAGGGUCAUUGGAAACUGGAGAACUUGAGUACAGAAGAGGAAAGCGGUAUUCCACGUGUAGCGGUGAAAUGCGUAGAGAUGUGGAGGAACACCAGUGGCGAAGGCGGCUUUCUGGUCUGUAACUGACGCUGAGGCGCGAAAGCGUGGGGAGCAAACAGGGAUUAGAUACCCUGGUAGUCCACGCCGUAAACGAUGAGUGCUAAGUGUUAGGGGGUUUCCGCCCCCUUAGUGCUGCAGCUAACGCAUUAAGCACUCCGCCUGGGGAGUACGGCCGCAAGGCUG